rnacentral:miRNA from 1 species
UAAGGUGACCAAUUCAUCCUAGCUUUCCUGGGACUGUCUUGGUUUUAAAAUUGAAAGUCCAUGUCUUAAGAGCACCCUUGGUCCCAUGCAAACUAGGAUGGUUGGUCACUACUUCUGC